rfam:Picea glauca, whole genome shotgun sequence.
UACAACAUAGCAUUAAUGCAGUGGAUCCCAUUAGAACUCCAUAGUUAAGCACACUCAAGCUAGAGUAGUACUGGGAUGGAUGAUCGCUCGGAAAGUUCUAGUGUUUUAC